GGCGAGUGANGCGGCAACAGCUCAAAUUUGAAAGCUAGCCUUCGGGUUCGCAUUGUAAUUUGUAGAGGAUGAUUUGGGGAAGCCGCCUGUCUAAGUUCCUUGGAACAGGACGUCAUAGAGGGUGAGAAUCCCGUAUGUGACAGGAAAUGGCACCCUAUGUAAAUCUCCUUCGACGAGUCGAGUUGUUUGGGAAUGCAGCUCUAAAUGGGAGGUAAAUUUCUUCUAAAGCUAAAUAUUGGCGAGAGACCGAUAGCGCACAAGUAGAGUGAUCGAAAGAUGAAAAGCACUUUGGAAAGAGAGUUAAAAAGCACGUGAAAUUGUUGAAAGGGAAGCGCUUGCAAUCAGACUUGUUUAAACUGUUCGGCCGGUCUUCUGACCGGUUUACUCAGUUUGGACAGGCCAGCAUCAGUUUCGGCGGCCGGAUAAAGGCUCUGGGAAUGUGGCCUCCACUUCGGUGGAGGUGUUAUAGCCCAGGGUGUAAUACGGCCAGCCGGGACUGAGGUCCGCGCUUCGGCUAGGAUGCUGGCGUAAUGGUUGUAAGCGACCCGUCUU
rnacentral:rRNA from 1 species